rnacentral:misc_RNA from 1 species
ACAAACUUGGUCAUUUAGAGGAAGUAAAAGUCGUAACAAGGUUUCCGUAGGUGAACCUGCGGAAGGAUCAUUAAUGAUAUUUUUAAAGCAAACCAAGCUUUUUUUUUUAAAAAGUAAGGUUUUGCGAAUAUAUAUUUAAAACCCCCCACUCUUUAAAAAAAGAAUUUUUCAUUUUUAUAUAUAUAAAAUGAAUAAAAAAAGAUCACUUUCAACAACGGAUCUCUUGGCUCUCGCAUCGAUGAAGAACGCAGC